rnacentral:SRP_RNA from 1 species
UAACGCCAACGCUACUCUGUUUACCAGGUCAGGUCCGGAAGGAAGCAGCCAGAGCAGACGACGUGUGUGCCGGGAUGU